rnacentral:lncRNA from 1 species
AGAGAGUGAGCCAAGGAAGGAUCUUCUCAAGGAGUAGACGUUAGGCAAGAAAAAGUAUUUCUACUACAGUACUAACGACCACUCAGAUGAGAAAUAUCUUCAUACCUAGAUAGCCUAAGGAAGAAGGGUGACAUACCUUAUGAAGGUAUGUCAGAUCUAUUUGCAUGUUGAUGUAUUAAGACAGUGAGUAUGCCGUAUGAUUUGAGAG